UGGACAGAUUAUUGUAUUCGACUGUAUUCACGGCGUGAAACAGGGGAUUACACUAUUUUUAAACGAAAAGUGAAUCAAUUAACAUAAUAGACUCCU
rnacentral:pre_miRNA from 1 species